rnacentral:lncRNA from 1 species
GUAAGACCCCUAUAAAUAAAAAUGAUUACUUAUUUUAAGUAUUUUAUUUUGGUGGUAUUAGAUAAUAAAUUUUGAUGUGAAACGUUGUUGAGAAAUAUUUAAGGAAGGGAAGAAAAUUAAAUUAAUAUUAAAUUUUUUUAUUAAAUUUCGAAAAACUUGAAAAGGCAUGUAAAUAUAAUUGUUUAUGCUAUUAUAUUAGCGGAUGGAGCCUGGUCUAAUGAUUGUUCUGUGUGCAUGGGAGGGAUGUGUGCUUGGUCUUAAGUUCUAACCCUCCCAAGACCAAAAAGGCUCNUAGCUAUUUUUACUUUCCACCUUGUCAUGUGGGUCCCACCAUGAGGUAAGAAAGAGAGAACUAAAACUUCUCUUAAAGGGAGAGCACUUUCACGUUAAAAUUAGUGUGGGCUGCACCUUGGGUUGCUUUAUUUUAUUCUUGUUAUGUUUCAUCUUGCAUGAUUGAAAAUUUAAAGCUUUUGUUUCUCAUUUUUCCUUCUCUUUCCAAGUUACGUUUCAAUGCAUGCCAUGGGUCUUAUAUUAUUCCUCUUCAUUUUUGCAUGGGCUGGGCCACAAGAAUUCUAGACUUAGGAUGCUUGUAAGUGACCUUGGAGUUUCUUGGAGAGGUUAAACAUUGCAUUAAAAAUGGUAGGCUCCAUAAAUGGGUAUUAUAGAGGCACUUAAACACACUUUAAACCUACCAUUUAUACACAUUAAAGAGAGGUUUUAUGGGUGUUAAUGUGGAGUUAGGAAUGGGAAAAAUCUGAAAUGGUCUAAGGAUGCCCUUGGUAGUGACCUUGAGUGGGGGAUUAAGGGUUAGAAAGGUUUAGGUUUGAUUUUAUNUAAGUGUGAAAUUUUAAGUUAGUUAGAGGGUAUUAAAAACUUGGUGAGAGAGUGGAAAAGAAAGAGAAAGCAGUAAGUUGAGUGGAGAGAAACAUUUCUUUGUGAGAAACAACCAAGUUGGUGAGAGAAAGAAAGUACUCAACCUAGCUUUGGAGUUGGAAACUUGAAGGGAACCUAGAAGGGUGAAGCGCUUGGAGUCUAAAGAAGGAAAGAAACCUAAGAACCUUGGAGACUAGCUUGGAACUAAAGGUAAGGGGUUUAACUUGGGAUAUAAUAUGGUGUAUGAUGGGUAGAAGGUAACAUGAUAAUAUUGAUGCAUGCUUUCUUUCUUUUGUGUUGAGAUUAAAGUUAAUAUGUUGAGGCAUGCUCUCUCUUUUUGUGUUUAGUUUCAUGUUGUUGUAUGGAGAAUGAUUAUUUUUUUAUGCAUUUUCAAAAUGGGGUUGUGAAGGGGUAUACUUUGAGUUGUAUAUAUAUAUAUAUAUAUAUAUAUAUAUAUAUAUAUAUAUAUAUAGUGAUUUUCGUUCUUUUGUAGUUAUGGGUAUACCUUGAUCUUUAUAUGUUGGCUUUUCGAAAAGUGUUGUUGUUAAAAUGGGUAUACAUGUUUUGGGCACUUUGGGGUGAUGUAUGUGUAUGAAAAAGUUUUAUGGGUACACUUAAAAUCAUGUUGUAUUGUGUGCAUCUUGUUUCCUUAUUACCAUGUAUGAAUUAUAAUAUUUUUGUGGGAUGCUUAUCUACACUCUUUGACCAAGAGUGUGGGUAGGAGGGUAUUGAGAGUUUUCUCCCAUUGUUGGAAGAGAAAAGAGUGAGUUAUGAGUAUGAAAGGAGUGAAAGUGAUGUUUUUGUGAGAUGGGGUAUAUGGGGUUGAUGAAAAUAGUGAAGAAAGAAGAAGCUUGAUGUCAUUGGAGGAAAAAGAACAUGAAGGAAGAAUUAUGGAAGUGGAAGGAGGAGAUGGGCACACUACAAAUCACAUAGCAAAGGCAAUGAGAAAAGAGAAGGAAGGGUGGUUAACGUGAGAGAAGAGUAGAAGAAAGGUGGUUUUUGGGUUUUAGUUAAGAAAGAAAAAGUGAAAGAGUGAAAGGAAGUGUGUGUAUGUGUUUGCCGUGAGUUGAGUGAGAGAAAGGUGAGUUAAAAUGGGUGUUGAAAAGUCAAAGUAAUGAAGAAAAAUGGAAUUGGAGUGUGUGAGGUAUGGUGUGGGGCCGUAAACUUUUUUGUAAGAGAGAGAAUAAUGAAAUUGUAAUUUGGUGUGUGUGUAGUUUCAAGGUAAGGGAAUUAUGCAAGUGAGAGAAAUGUUAACUUUGACCAUUAGAAUAGAUAGUAAAAGUGGUGUGGGGUCCACGGUCUUUGAGAGAGGAAGAUAGGAAAAAUGGAGAGAGAAAAAGAGUUUUUUGAGAAAAGAGUAAUUCAAGUGGGGUCCACUUGGAGAGAGAAAAAAAAAAUAUAAAGUUUGAGUUUAAAAUUAAAAAGAUUAAUGGGGUCCACUUGGUUGGUAAAUUUAAGAGAGGGGGUGCAUUUAAGAUAAAAAGGGGUACAUUAAAAAGUGUUUUAUUUUGUGUUGUGAAUUAGUAAAAUCGGGGGUGCACUAGAAAUAUUGGUUCUAGUGGAAUGNNAGGGUGAGAUUAAUAAUUUNACGNGGGUGCGCAAGUAGGAAAAUAAUUAAAUUAUUUUUAUUGUGAAAAAUUGAUUGAUUUAAUUAUUUGAGUAUUUUAAUUAAUUGUUGGUCAAUGAAUUUGGUUGACUUUGAAUAUGCGGGUGAUAUCUGUAUGGUUGUGAUGGUGAAGUUGUGAGAGCAAGUGUUCUGUCAUUUCCUUAGAAUUCUUGUCGAACCGGUGGUGUUCGUAUUGCGAUACGAUAGUGUGUUGAGUUCUCUGCGGAGACUGAGAUUCGAGUGUCACCCUAUCCUCAUGCGUGGGGACUAGAGAGGGUUGGAUGUCU